rnacentral:rRNA from 1 species
GGACGAACGCUGGCGGCGUGCUUAACACAUGCAAGUCGAACGGAAAGGCCCUGCUUUUGUGGGGUGCUCGAGUGGCGAACGGGUGAGUAACACGUGAGUAACCUGCCCUUGACUUUGGGAUAACUUCAGGAAACUGGGGCUAAUACCGGAUAGGAGCUCCUGCUGCAUGGUGGGGGUUGGAAAGUUUCGGCGGUUGGGGAUGGACUCGCGGCUUAUCAGCUUGUUGGUGGGGUAGUGGCUUACCAAGGCUUUGACGGGUAGCCGGCCUGAGAGGGUGACCGGCCACAUUGGGACUGAGAUACGGCCCAGACUCCUACGGGAGGCAGCAGUGGGGAAUAUUGCACAAUGGGCGGAAGCCUGAUGCAGCAACGCCGCGUGCGGGAUGAUGGCCUUCGGGUUGUAAACCGCUUUCGCCUGUGACGAAGCGUGAGUGACGGUAAUGGGUAAAGAAGCACCGGCUAACUACGUG